CGUCGAAACAGCAUAUUCAGAUUGUUUGAAUAAUUAUAUCAGUUCAUAUUGGCUGUGUUGGAACGGGUGAAGUCCUUCAAAGACGAUAACCGAUAG